AGCUCCAAUAGCGUAUAUUAAAGUUGCUGCAGUUAAAAAGCUCGUAGUUGGAUUUGUGGCGCGGUCGUCCGGCGGGGCUUCCGGUUUCAUAGUAUCCCGGGGCCGUUUGUCUGGGUUCUUGGCCGCCCCAUUCUUCGGUUGCGUGUCGCUGGCAUUAGGUUGUCGGCUUCUUCGCGCCGAUCGUUUACUGUGAAAAAAUUAGAGUGUUCAAAGCAGGCUGUCACAGCCCGAAUACAUGAGCAUGGAAUAAUGGAAUAGGACCGCGGUUCUAUUUUGUUGGUUUCUACGACCGCAGUAAUGAUUAAGAGGGACAAUUGGGGGCAUCCGUAUUUCGUUGUCAGAGGUGAAAUUCUUGGAUUUACGAAAGACGAACAACUGCGAAAGCAUUUGCCAAGAGUGU
rnacentral:rRNA from 1 species